AAAAAAUCCUAUAAUUGACUCCCAAAAUAUUUAUCCUAUCCGCUUUGUUCGUUAACGGUUCAAAAUUCCUUUAUCUUUCUAAUUCUUUUAGAAAUGUCUUUGGUCGUAAAUUACUUUUUCUUCUCACAUGUGAUAUAGAAUAUACACUCAAAGAAUCCUUAUUAGAAUAAUUCACAAUCAAUAGCAUUACUCAUACUGAUACUUACAAAGUCGUCUUUUUAAAGAUCCAAGAGAUUAAAGACUUGGAGAAAACUUUGUAAUUUUCCCUUGUCCCUUUAAUUGACAUAGACCCCAGUCUCAUAAUAAAAUGAGGAUGGGAUGCUACA
rnacentral:misc_RNA from 1 species